AAGUCGUAACAAGGUCUCCGUUGGUGAACCAGCGGAGGGAUCAUUAUAGAGUGUAAAAACUCCCAAACCCACUGUGAACCUAUACCACUGUUGCUUCGGCGGACACGCCCCGGGCGCCCCCCCUCGCGGGGCGGUGCCCCGGAACCAGGCGCCCGCCGGAGACCUUCAAACCUCUGUAUUUUACUGAGAAUCUCUGAGUAUGAUUAUACAAAUCAACUUAAAACUUUCAACAACGGAUCUCUUGGCUCUG
rnacentral:misc_RNA from 1 species